UACGGGGGGAGCAAGCGUUGUUCGGAUUUACUGGGCGUAAAGGGCGCGUAGGCGGCCAGCACAAGUCAGUUGUGAAAUCUCCGAGCUUAACUCGGAAAGGUCAACUGAUACUGUGCGGCUAGAGUGCAGAAGGGGCAACUGGAAUUCUUGGUGUAGCGGUGAAAUGCGUAGAUAUCAAGAGGAACACCUGCGGCGAAGGCGGGUUGCUGGGCUGACACUGACGCUGAAGCGCGAAAGCCAGGGGAGCGAACGGG
rnacentral:rRNA from 1 species